UGGGCGUAAGCGCGCGCAGGCGGUUUCUUAAGUCUGAUGUGAAAGCCCACGGCUCAACCGUGGAGGGUCAUUGGAAACUGGGGAACUUGAGUGCAGAAGAGAAAAGCGGAAUUCCACGUGUAGCGGUGAAAUGCGUAGAGAUGUGGAGGAACACCAGUGGCGAAGGCGGCUUUUUGGUCUGUAACUGACGCUGAGGCGCGAAAGCGUGGGGAGCAAACAGGAUUAGAUACCCUGGUAGUCCACGCCGUAAACGAUGAGUGCUAAGUGUUACAGGGUUUCCUCCCUUCCGUGCUGCACCUAACGCAUCAAGCACUCCGCGUGGGGAGCACGGUCGCAAGAC
rnacentral:rRNA from 2 species